CGGAACGGAUCCGGGCUAGUGGGGCGGGCUAACGGGUCUGAGACUUACCCGUUGCCUCAACCUUCUUCAACCUCCCGACGGAUUCGGGAGGUGGGGGUUCCGUUCCUCGCGGCGGCGGCUGCGGAGACGGGCUGCGGCGGGGCUCUGUGGCGACGGACAACGGCCGGAGAGGGAUGGCCGGUCACGGUGGCGGCCGAAGGCGGCUGCCGGCGGUGCAGGCGGAAGCGGGGUGGCGCUGCGAUCGGUCUGCUCGUCGGCGGAAUUCGGCGGCGGGGAGGCGGCGCGACGCGGAGGUGGAAAGGGGUUUUCCUGACCUCACUUCGAGGUGGUGGCCGCAGGUGGACUGCGGCGGCGAGCGGGAGUGAUGGUGGUCGCGGGUGUGACAGGCAGUGGAGGCGAGCACGGGCGUGAUGGCUGGUGGGAAGGGGAAAACCCGACGAAGGGGCUUUCCUUUCUCCUCUGGUGUGAACCGAGAGAGAAAGAGAGAGAGAGAGAGAGAGAGGAAGGGGUGGUGGGCCGUGGGAAGUCGAUGGAGAAGCAGUGUCGGGGAGGCGGAGGCGGUGGGGUGAGGCUGCGCAGCGGGGUGGCGGUGGAUUCAAGUGGCAGCAAGGGAGAAAGCCGCUGUUUAGGUACUGGGGCUUUGGCAGCAGGGGCAAAACCAGCCUUGCUCUGAUACCAAGUUGGUGUAGGACCAAGUCCGGGAAGGCAGUCUUCAGUGGAUACGAUGUACUCACGUUGCAAUUUUGAAUCAGGAACAGAAGAAGAGGGAGAAGAGGAGGAGGAAGAAAAGAAGGAGAAGAGAAGGAGAAAGAGAGGAGACGUGGGGAAGAAAAUUGUUAAUCUUUCAUUAAACCCUAAUCAUGAAAA
rnacentral:lncRNA from 1 species